rnacentral:misc_RNA from 1 species
GCCAAUUCAAGGGCACCCAAUGACACUUAGUCUGCCAAACAAGAGAUCCAAACCCAACCCAUAAAACAAAGCUCAAGAGCUAUUGCUAGCUUGAGAAGAUCCUCUGACUUAGGAAGAACGCUGCUAUUCAGCCCCCAAGGAAGGAAUGAGACGGCAAUAAAGCUUGCAAGGAUUGAGUCAAAAAGGAGAAACACCAGAAAGGAUUGUCAAAGGAUCCCAGCAAACACGAAAGUUAAUGAGGCAACUUCGGAGAACUUCAUUGAGUAGAAUAAAUAAUACAAUCCUCGCCUUUUCUCAGUUAGAUCAUUAUAAUCACUUUCAUAAUCAACUUAAUGAACCCAAAAAAUAAGAAAAAGAAAACAUUGCAGAUUCAACUAACUGCUUCUAAAUCUACUUCUGCAUCUGUCUCUCCAUCUAUCAUCCCUGCCUCUACCUCCCCAUCAGCUUCUAAUUGGCCUGCCUCUUGACCAACAUCCGUGUCAGGGCUUUGCUUUUGAUGUUCUUCAGGUGUUGGAGUGCCACCUUGGGAGGUACUGACUGCUGUAGCCAUUGCAUCAGUGUCCAUUGGAGCAGCAGAGGCUUCAUCAGCUCUGACUCCUUCACCAUCAAUCUCACUUGCAGGUGUUGCAAUCUGAUUCUCUUCUGCUUGAUUUGAUGCACCCUUUGCCUCUUCCUUUUUGGCACGCUUAGUUCUGUCACUAGGUUUAGCUUGGUAUCUGGACCGGACAUCUGGUGGCAGUAGUUCUAGGGGAACAACUCCUUCAAUACCAUGGUCGGUAAAUCUGGAAAAUCCGUCCAAGUCCUGCCUAGCUGAAAAACGCAGACCUUUCCAGCAAUAUACCUGCAGAAAAAAGAUAAUAAUAAAAAAUAUUAAAAAAAAACUUCUCCACAUUACUCAUGAGAAGUCAAAUUGCAGCAAAAACUAAGAAAUAAGUUUCUUUUCUUAAAAAAUAUAAAAUAGGAAACUAAAAGCAAGCAUGCUUAUUGACCAAGUUGCUCUUCAUGAAAGCACCUAUGGAAUUUGGCCACCUAUAAGUGCAGUCCAUAGAAUGAUUCCUGUGAUAGCUUCUCUGAUUAAUAUCUGGUACACUUCUAUGUGCUAACCUACUCACCAAAGAUAUUUUACACCCAAAAAAAAAGGCUAUUUGAAAACCUUCGUACUUGAAUUCCCAAUGUAAACACAUCGUAUUAGUCAAUAAACCAAACACAUUCUAGUCAUUGGCACACCUUUGGGCCCAAAAUUGAGCAUUUAAUCUCAAAUAGGAAUAGGUUCUCACAAGAUAUACAAUAACCGUCUGUAUGCAUAUAGUUGGAAGAGAAAAGUAGCAAGUCCACGUGCAGAAAUUUUAUUCUUCUACUUAAGGUAGUCACAGUUGCAAGAGAUCCUCUGACAUUCUAAUAGUCUUAAUCAUAUUUCCAACCUACAAUUCAAUAGUAUUAUCUAAGUAAAUUCCAUAUGUCCAAAGGUUUAGACUGCUUCCCUCAUUUUCAAGAACAAUGUAUCCAGAAGGCAAUUCUACAGAGCAUGUAUAUAUUCAGUGUUAUUACUAGCAUCAAACCCCAGUUGUAUAAAAUAGCAGUACACGUUAAAAGUGGAUGAGGCUCUGAAAAUGAAAGAAAAGACCAACGCUCACCCGGUUAUUUUUGUGGUGAUAUUCAGCUUCUAUUCCAGCUGAUGGGUCCAUAUCUUCGGCCAAGGGUUUCCAAUAUUCUGUGAUGGCAGGAGUUCGAACGCGUUGAGGAUCAGUCAAAGCAUUCGGAUUCUGAUCUGCCCACUUCCACAGUUGGGAGAGUUCUUUAUUCCCGAGUCUCCACCUUGGCCUACGUUUUUUAUUUCCAUCUUGGACUGUUUUGUUCUCUAUUGGCUGCUUUUCAAAUGGAGGACAACCGUCUCGUUUCCACCAUACCCAAUUCUUUUCACGUUCAAGUAUAUGCUCAAUUUUUUGAAGAAAAUCCUUUCCUUUAGGUGGAGUUGUUUCAAGUAGUUUCUUCACAUGCUCCUCACAAGUUUUUAUUUCUUCUUUCAUGCUUUCAGAUGUCAAAUCUUUGUCAUUCUUUCCAGGAGCCUUAAGAUAGUCAAACAAUAUAAGGCACUGCACAAGAACAUGGCGUCGAAAACUUGGAUCUUUUAACUUUCAACACCAGUUACCUCUAAACCCAUCAGUUUACUGCUUGUGAGAUAUUUUAUGUUAAAAGUUGCUGCCUCUUCCUCCAAGUUGUUAGCAUCUCCUUCUUCCUCGCUCAAAGGCUGAGCUUCAAAGGUAUUCAACACAACCAUCAAACUGGAUGUAAAUUUCUGCCACUUGGUUGGAGCAAGCGUUAGAGAAGCUGGGUUACAGAAGUGUUCCUGAAACACAAGCGGACAUGUUCAUAGAAAACUCAGCUUAAGUAUCAAGGCAGUUUCGAAAAUUAACUUCUAUUAACUGUCUAAUAAAAAUAAAUAAAUAGAUUAAGGUUUUAAUCUCCAGAUCACAAUCUUCUCAGCAUCAACCAUCCUUAAUAGAACUCAACUCUAGUCUCAAACUUGUUAGGAUCAACUGCACCAACACUUCUUCCUCUGUUAUUUCCUCACCCAUGCAAAACCAUCCGUUAAAAAAUAAACCUUGAGUAGCUAUUUUCCAACUCAUGAUUAUUUGCUGCAAAGCAAACCCUCUAGUAUUUCAUUUUUAAUAACGAUAUUUUAUUUUAGAAAUAUUAACAGGAAUUCCCACACAAAUAUAUGCCUAGGCUCAAAAGAAAUGAGAAAAGUGGGUGAUUUUGUUUAGUAAUAUUAUUUAUGGUAUUAAACAUAAAUUUGGCAGCAGCAGUAGAUAACUAAAAAAACGAGCGAGCAGACACAGUUACGUUCUUGAGACCAAACCAGCCAAAAGUGCAGUUAGUUUACAAUAAAGUUAUGGCUCCAAGAUAUAAUUUGGAUUAAGAUGAUUACUUUGAAACCAAGCACAAUAGUAACUCAUAUAAGGAAAUACCCCAAGAGUGAGAAGGUUAUGAUUGCACAAAGACAAUCAGUUCCCUUCCCCCCAACUAAAAAUUAUACCAAGUGGCAUAGUUUACCUGUAAACUCCAUAAAGUUUUAUAGAAGUUAAAGUCAACAGAAAUACCUGAUAGGAAGUGAACAGAUCAGUACACAGGAUCAUAAAGUAAAGCUAUAGAGUAGAUACAAAGUUUACUAGAAAGCUGUGCAGCAAGGUUGUACCAGCAGGUGGGUCUUUCUCAUAUUUAGUCUCAUUUGAUGUGUUGAAAACUCCCUUUAUAUUCACAGCUGAACGUUCAGACAGUGGAAAAAAAUGUGCCAAAAACAUGAGAAUUCGUCCACAAAAUACAACAUCAUUAGCCUUUGAAAGACGACGAAGAAGUUGGUUACACGUUCUCAACAUCACAAGUUUUCCACGAGCAAAAAGUUCUUGCUUCCCAAGUAUGUCUUGCUUGCUCUCUAUAUAACCAAAAGUAUCUUUGCAAUUCCUCAUUGUAGACAUUUCUGUCAAAUCUUCCAACAACUGGAAUAUCAUACCGCCCUCAACAUGUUCUCUCUCACAAAGAUACAACACAACAUCUAAAAGACGAGGAAUCUGACCCUGAAAGUUUUCCCCAUCAUCAAUUGAUUGCCCGUACUGCAUUAUUUCCUCCCCUGACUGUACUGCAGAAGACACAAGCUCCUGAAGCAAUGUCCGAAGCAUAUUUUCUAACAAUUGAUUCUCGUCUUGGGCUAGUUUGGUUUGCCUCUGGGGUUUAAUGAAUUCUUGAACGGUCUGGAGAGCAAAGCUUUCAGGUGGUCCAGGCUGCAAUAUGGCCCUUCUAAAUUCUUCCAUUUUCAAGAUUCUACCACGCAGCAAACUCAAGCAAGCACGAAGCAAAGUCUCAAUACCAACCUAUAAACAAUGCUUCAAUCUGCAAUUACGAAACUGCUGAAGCUGGGAAACUGCUGAAGCUGGGUACGUAAUCGAAGUAGACCCAGAAUCAAAAGGAACAAAGGGGAAGAGAGAAACGGCUGGGUGAUUUUCAAGCUAGAAAGAAACCAAAAACGAGACAGUGG